GCCGGGCAUGAUGGCUCAUGCCUGUAAUCCCAGCACUUUGGGAGGCCGAGGCGGGUGGAUCACCUGAGGUCAGGAGUUCAAGACCAGCCUGGCCAACAUGGCGAAACCCCGUCUCGC
rnacentral:SRP_RNA from 1 species